rnacentral:lncRNA from 1 species
GUCACUAAGAAUUAUGAUGUUUAUCCUUAUGGUCAUAAGAUCCAUCUAAAGUGUACUUAUGUCUUCGGCCUAACUUUUGGGCUAACAAGUAUUGGAUUUUGAUUUAGAUUCAACUCUUGACCCAAUGUCAAUGAUGAGUCAACCAUAUGUCAACAUUUGACUUAAAUCAAUUAGAUUUCAAAAUUUAGUCAAAUCCUAAUCC